UACGUAGGGUGCAAGCGUUAUCCGGAUUCACUGGGCUUAAAGGGUGCGUAGGCGGGCAUGUAAGUCUGUGGUGAAAUCUCCAAGCUUAACUUGGAAACUGCCAUGGAUACUAUAUGUCUUGAAUGUUGUGGAGGUUAGCGGAAUAUGUCAUGUAGCGGUGAAAUGCAUAGAGAUGACGUAGAACACCAAUUGCGAAGGCAGCUGGCUGCGCAAAUAUUGACGCUGAGGCACGAAAGCGUGGGGAGCAAACAGG
rnacentral:rRNA from 1 species